AGCGUCAUUAUUCUUUCUUGGCAGGGAAUGGAUUCCAGAGUCAUUCUGUGACCUUUACGUUCUGUGACCUCCUUAUUAGCAUCUAAAAGCUUCCAGUGUAGGAUGCAGCCAGAAAGCAAGGAAGUCAUCAAAGUCCAACAGGAUCACAUCAAAAAGACAGGAGAGUCAACUUGAAGAGAUAUUAACCUCGAUGAGACAAUGUAAGCAUCCAAAACAAUAAAGACAACAAUGGCCUGAAAUACA